AUUAAGGUGGCAGAAUUAUAAUGCACAGAUCUUAAGCGUCUGAGAUGGUAAGUUACCCUUUAAUA
rnacentral:tRNA from 1 species